UAAGGGCGCACGGUGGAUGCCUUGGCACUAGAAGCCGAUGAAGGACGUUACUAACGACGAUAUGCUUUGGGGAGCUGUAAGUAAGCUUUGAUCCAGAGAUUUCCGAAUGGGGAAACCCAGCAUGAGUUAUGUCAUGUUAUCGAUAUGUGAAUACAUAGCAUAUCAGAAGGCACACCCGGAGAACUGAAACAUCUUAGUACCCGGAGGAAGAGAAAGAAAAUUCGAUUCCCUUAGUAGCGGCGAGCGAAACGGGAAGAGCCCAAACCAACAAGCUUGCUUGUUGGGGUUGUAGGACACUCUAUACGGAGUUACAAAGGACGACAUUAGACGAAUCAUCUGGAAAGAUGAAUCAAAGAAGGUAAUAAUCCUGUAGUCGAAAAUGUUGUCUCUCUUGAGUGGAUCCUGAGUACGACGGAGCACGUGAAAUUCCGUCGGAAUCUGGGAGGACCAUCUCCUAAGGCUAAAUACUCUCUAGUGACCGAUAGUGAACCAGUACCGUGAGGGAAAGGUGAAAAGCACCCCGGAAGGGGAGUGAAAUAGAACCUGAAACCGUGUGCUUACAAGUAGUCAGAGCCCGUUAAUGGGUGAUGGCGUGCCUUUUGUAGAAUGAACCGGCGAGUUACGAUUUGAUGCAAGGUUAAGCAGUAAAUGUGGAGCCGUAGCGAAAGCGAGUCUGAAUAGGGCGUUUAGUAUUUGGUCGUAGACCCGAAACCAGGUGAUCUACCCUUGGUCAGGUUGAAGUUCAGGUAACACUGAAUGGAGGACCGAACCGACUUACGUUGAAAAGUGAGCGGAUGAACUGAGGGUAGCGGAGAAAUUCCAAUCGAACCUGGAGAUAGCUGGUUCUCUCCGAAAUAGCUUUAGGGCUAGCCUCAAGUGAUGAUUAUUGGAGGUAGAGCACUGUUUGGACGAGGGGCCCCUCUCGGGUUACCGAAUUCAGACAAACUCCGAAUGCCAAUUAAUUUAACUUGGGAGUCAGAACAUGGGUGAUAAGGUCCGUGUUCGAAAGGGAAACAGCCCAGACCACCAGCUAAGGUCCCAAAAUAUAUGUUAAGUGGAAAAGGAUGUGGCGUUGCCCAGACAACUAGGAUGUUGGCUUAGAAGCAGCCAUCAUUUAAAGAGUGCGUAAUAGCUCACUAGUCGAGUGACACUGCGCCGAAAAUGUACCGGGGCUAAACAUAUUACCGAAGCUGUGGAUUGUCCUUUGGACAAUGGUAGGAGAGCGUUCUAAGGGCGUUGAAGCAUGAUCGUAAGGACAUGUGGAGCGCUUAGAAGUGAGAAUGCCGGUGUGAGUAGCGAAAGACGGGUGAGAAUCCCGUCCACCGAUUGACUAAGGUUUCCAGAGGAAGGCUCGUCCGCUCUGGGUUAGUCGGGUCCUAAGCUGAGGCCGACAGGCGUAGGCGAUGGAUAACAGGUUGAUAUUCCUGUACCACCUAUAAUC
rnacentral:rRNA from 1 species